UACGAAGGGGGCUAGCGUUGCUCGGAAUCACUGGGCGUAAAGGGCGCGUAGGCGGCCAAGUAAGUUGGGGGUGAAAGCCCGUGGCUCAACCACGGAAUUGCCUUCGAUACUGCUUGGCUUGAGACCGGAAGAGGUGAGUGGAACUGCGAGUGUAGAGGUGAAAUUCGUAGAUAUUCGCAAGAACACCAGUGGCGAAGGCGGCUACCUGGCCUGUUCUUGACGCUGAGGCGCGAAAGCUAGGGGAGCAAACGGG
rnacentral:rRNA from 1 species